CCAGGCUUGCGGCGCGGGCUUUCUGGGCGCGGCAGGAGCCCAGUUUCAGGACCGCGAGAGGCUCAGAGACUGACCUGCGAGGUACCAGCCGCUCCGCGACGCCUCACUUCGGCCAGACACGUCACAUUAAACCUCUAUAUCCUCCCCUAUGCCAGGCAGAGCCCCGAGGUGCUGCGGGGUUGUUGACUUUGUGCAGUAAUGGGGACUGAUCCAGGGUCUUCACCUUACUUACCAUCAUCAGCGCUUUUUUAAUUUUUCUUUUGCCACACGGUCUCUAAACCGCUAAAUUGCUUCGACUGGGUUCAAAUUUGCGAUCCUCCUGCCUCACCCUCCGGAGUGCUGGGAUUACAGGAGGCCCCACUGGAGCUCAUGCUAGAAGAUUGGCAGCAGGUGCCAGGCUUGGAGGUCCACAAGUCUCUUGGAUCAGCAGAAAGUUGCUGUACAGUGGCUUGAUACAAGCUGUCCUUUACAGCAAGCACAGUUCUCCAGAAGGAAAUGGCAAAUGAAACAGUCGCCAAGAAAGCAAUAAGAAGCAAAGGCUUCCGCGGUAGUUCGUAAAAACCAGCCCCAGACUGCACAUCAUCUGGCAACGUAGGAACCAGCUCCAGGGGCUUGGCUACGGGAGCCUGUAGAGGAUCCACCGGGAUCCCAGCAGCUCCAGGUCCCUAGGCGGGGAGAAAGCGGACGCAGUGGCGCACAUUGAGUCCACUGUACAAGGCAACUUCGUUGAGACGACCCUUCCACGUGGGAUGGCGCAGGACUCCCGGUUCUCCGCCGACUCCUCCUUCAGAGGGAGGCCGCAAGGGGAUGGGAGUGGGGGCGCUGGACAACUGGAACGAACUUCGCCUUCCCGGCCCAGGGCGCUCUCCGCUCUACUCUACAAGUAACACAGAUCAACAAAAGGUUUCCACGGCGACGGCGGCAAGCCGAGCCACUGUGAGGGGCGGGGCCAGGCGGAACGAACCAACUGCUCCGCAGGGCAAGGGGAGAAACAAACGGGAGCGGGAGAGUCCAAGUGUAACAGACGAGUCGGAUUGCUCACCAUUGAGUCUUGGAUUCUCCUCCUACCUCCUGAGUUCCGCUUCCUAACAACUAAACUAAUCUUUCACCGGAGCUUUGUAAUUCAGUUUCUCUGUCUGAUCGUUUUAUUUUACCGCCACUGCUAUGGUCUGAAUAUCCUCCCAGCUUCGUAUGUUGAAACUUGAUAAUAUAAUAUUAAAAGGUGAGGCC